GGGCUCAUGGUCUAGUUGGUUAUGACGUCGCCUUGACACGGCGGAGGUCGGGAGUUCAAAUCUCCCUGAGCCCA
rnacentral:tRNA from 1 species